rnacentral:rRNA from 1 species
UACGUAGGGCGCAAGCGUUGUCCGGAAUUAUUGGGCGUAAAGAGCUCGUAGGCGGUCUGUUACGUCCGCUGUGAAAACCCAGGGCUUAACCCUGGGCUUGCAGUGGAUACGGGUAGACUAGAGGCAGGUAGGGGAGAAUGGAAUUCCCGGUGUAGCGGUGAAAUGCUCAGAUAUCGGGAGGAACACCGGUGGCGAAGGCGGUUCUCUGGGCCUGACCUGACGCUGAGGAGCGAAAGCGUGGGGAGCGAACAGG